rnacentral:rRNA from 1 species
CCUACGGGAGGCAGCAGUGAGGAAUAUUGGUCAAUGGACGAGAGUCUGAACCAGCCAAGUAGCGUGAAGGAUGACUGCCCUAUGGGUUGUAAACUUCUUUUAUAUGGGAAUAAAACGUUCCACGUGUGGGAUUUUGUAUGUACCAUAUGAAUAAGGAUCGGCUAACUCCGUGCCAGCAGCCGCGGUAAUACGGAGGAUCCGAGCGUUAUCCGGAUUUAUUGGGUUUAAAGGGAGCGUAGGUGGAUUGUUAAGUCAGUUGUGAAAGUUUGCGGCUCAACCGUAAAAUUGCAGUUGAAACUGGCAGUCUUGAGUACAGUAGAGGUGGGCGGAAUUCGUGGUGUAGCGGUGAAAUGCUUAGAUAUCACGAAGAACUCCGAUUGCGAAGGCAGUUCACUGGACUGCAACUGACACUGAGGCUCGAGAGUGUGGGUAUCAAACAGGAUUAGAUACCCUUGUAGUC